GCGGGUAUAGUUUAGUGGUAAAACCCCCAGCCUUCCAAGCUAGCGAUGCGGGUUCGAUUCCCGCUACCCGCU
rnacentral:tRNA from 1 species